rnacentral:rRNA from 1 species
AUUGAACGCUGGCGGCAGGCCUAACACAUGCAAGUCGAGCGGUAGCACAGAGAGCUUGCUCUCGGGUGACGAGCGGCGGACGGGUGAGUAAUGUCUGGGAAACUGCCUGAUGGAGGGGGAUAACUACUGGAAACGGUAGCUAAUACCGCAUAACGUCGCAAGACCAAAGUGGGGGACCUUCGGGCCUCAUGCCAUCAGAUGUGCCCAGAUGGGAUUAGCUAGUAGGUGGGGUAACGGCUCACCUAGGCGACGAUCCCUAGCUGGUCUGAGAGGAUGACCAGCCACACUGGAACUGAGACACGGUCCAGACUCCUACGGGAGGCAGCAGUGGGGAAUAUUGCACAAUGGGCGCAAGCCUGAUGCAGCCAUGCCGCGUGUGUGAAGAAGGCCUUCGGGUUGUAAAGCACUUUCAGCGGGGAGGAAGGCGUUAAGGUUAAUAACCUUGGCGAUUGACGUUACCCGCAGAAGAAGCACCGGCUAACUCCGUGCCAGCAGCCGCGGUAAUACGGAGGGUGCAAGCGUUAAUCGGAAUUACUGGGCGUAAAGCGCACGCAGGCGGUCUGUCAAGUCGGAUGUGAAAUCCCCGGGCUCAACCUGGGAACUGCAUUCGAAACUGGCAGGCUAGAGUCUUGUAGAGGGGGGUAGAAUUCCAGGUGUAGCGGUGAAAUGCGUAGAGAUCUGGAGGAAUACCGGUGGCGAAGGCGGCCCCCUGGACAAAGACUGACGCUCAGGUGCGAAAGCGUGGGGAGCAAACAGGAUUAGAUACCCUGGUAGUCCACGCCGUAAACGAUGUCGAUUUGGAGGUUGUGCCCUUGAGGCGUGGCUUCCGGAGCUAACGCGUUAAAUCGACCGCCUGGGGAGUACGGCCGCAAGGUUAAAACUCAAAUGAAUUGACGGGGGCCCGCACAAGCGGUGGAGCAUGUGGUUUAAUUCGAUGCAACGCGAAGAACCUUACCUGGUCUUGACAUCCACAGAACUUUCCAGAGAUGGAUUGGUGCCUUCGGGAACUGUGAGACAGGUGCUGCAUGGCUGUCGUCAGCUCGUGUUGUGAAAUGUUGGGUUAAGUCCCGCAACGAGCGCAACCCUUAUCCUUUGUUGCCAGCGGUUCGGCCGGGAACUCAAAGGAGACUGCCAGUGAUAAACUGGAGGAAGGUGGGGAUGACGUCAAGUCAUCAUGGCCCUUACGACCAGGGCUACACACGUGCUACAAUGGCAUAUACAAAGAGAAGCGACCUCGCGAGAGCAAGCGGACCUCAUAAAGUAUGUCGUAGUCCGGAUUGGAGUCUGCAACUCGACUCCAUGAAGUCGGAAUCGCUAGUAAUCGUAGAUCAGAAUGCUACGGUGAAUACGUUCCCGGGCCUUGUACACACCGCCCGUCACACCAUGGGAGUGGGUUGCAAAAGAAGUAGGUAGCUUAACCUUCGGGAGGGCGCUUACCACUUUGUGAUUCAUGA